rnacentral:rRNA from 1 species
AUUGAACGCUGGCGGCAGGCCUAACACAUGCAAGUCGAGCGGAGCGGCGGAAGGGUGAGUAAUGCCUAGGAAUCUGCCUGGGAGUGGGGGAUAACUCCCGGAAACGUGCGCCAAUACCGCAUUCUAUCAGAUGAGCCUAGGUCGGAUUAGCUAGGUGGUGGGGUAAAGGCCUACCAAGGCGACGAUCCGUAACUGGUCUGAGAGGAUGAUCAGUCACACUGGAACUGAGACACGGUCCAGACUCCUACGGGAGGCAGCAGUGGGGAAUAUUGGACAAUGGGCGAAAGCCUGAUCCAGCCAUGCCGCGUGUGUGAAGAAGGUCUUCGGAUUGUAAAGCACUUUAAGUUGGGAGGCGUUACCAACAGAAUAAGCACCGGCUAACUUCGUGCCAGCAGCCGCGGUAAUUC